UGUGUCAGAAAGAUUCGGCAGAAAUUGUGUUGUUUUUGCAUCCAAUAUCAUAAUGACUAUUAUUAUACCUUUCUGGAUAGGGAAUCGACUCAUGAGUCCAACACACUACUUUGCAGUGAUAUAAUUAAGUCAUAUAAGUUUGUUUCAGGCUCGAAUGCAACAUUUUAAUAUUUUCCAUAAUUUUCUCCUUUAUUUUUAUUUUGGAUUAAAAGCUUAUUAGGGUUUCUUUUUUUGUUUUGUUUUUGUUUUGGAUUAAAAGCCCAUUAGGGUUUAUUUUUAUGUGUUUAAACACUUUUGGGUGUGGUCGUCAAAGUUAUCUUUGAU
rnacentral:lncRNA from 1 species